rnacentral:rRNA from 1 species
AGAAUCAACGCUGGCGGCGUGCCUAACACAUGCAAGUCGAACGAGAAAGUGGAGCAAUCCAUGAGUAAAGUGGCGACCGGGUGAGUAACACGUGACUAACCUACCUUCGAGUGGGGGAUAACAUCGGGAAACCGAUGCUAAUACCGCAUAACAUCGCAAGAUCAAAGCAGCAAUGCGCUGGAAGAGGGGGUCGCGGCUGAUUAGCUAGUUGGCGGGGUAACGGCCCACCAAGGCGAAGAUCGGUAGCCGGCCUGAGAGGGCGCACGGCCACACUGGAACUGAAACACGGUCCAGACUCCUACGGGAGGCAGCAGUGGGGAAUUUUGCGCAAUGGGGGAAACCCUGACGCAGCAACGCCGCGUGGAGGAUGAAGCCCCUUGGGUGUAAACUCCUUUCGACCAAGACGAUAAUGACGGUACUGGUGGAAGAAGCACCGGCUAACUCUGCGCCAGCAGCCGC